rnacentral:rRNA from 1 species
AGUGAACGCUGGCGGUAGGCCUAACACAUGCAAGUCGAACGGCAGCACAGUAAGAGCUUGCUCUUAUGGGUGGCGAGUGGCGGACGGGUGAGGAAUACAUCGGAAUCUACUUUUUCGUGGGGGAUAACGUAGGGAAACUUACGCUAAUACCGCAUACGACCUACGGGUGAAAGCAGGGGAUCUUCGGACCUUGCGCGAUUGAAUGAGCCGAUGUCGGAUUAGCUAGUUGGCGGGGUAAAGGCCCACCAAGGCGACGAUCCGUAGCUGGUCUGAGAGGAUGAUCAGCCACACUGGAACGGGGACACGGUCCAGGCUCCUACGGGAGGCAGCAGUGGGGAAUAUUGGACAAUGGGCGGAAGCCUGAUCCAGCCAUACCGCGUGGGUGAAGAAGGCCUUCGGGUUGUAAAGCCCUUUUGUUGGGAAAGAAAAGCAGCAGGUUAAUACCCCGCUGUUCUGACGGUACCCAAAGAAUAAGCACCGGCUAACUUCGUG